rnacentral:misc_RNA from 1 species
GAAAUGCGAUAAGUAGUGUGAAUUGCAGAAUUCAGUGAAUCAUCGAAUCCUUGAACGCACAUUGCGCCCCUUGGUAUUCCAUGGGGCAUGCCUGUUCGAGCGUCAUUUGUACCCUCAAGCUCUGCUUGGUGUUGGGUGUUUGUCCCCGUCUCCGCGCGUGGACUCGCCCCAAAGUGAUUGGCAGCCGGCGUACUGGUCCCGGAGCGCAGCACAUGUCGCGCAAACGAGUGCCUUGGUACGGCGGCGUCCAUAAGCCCCUCUCUCACGCUCUUGACCUCGGAUCAGGUAGGGAUACCCGCUGAACUUAAGC